rnacentral:rRNA from 1 species
ACCCGCUGAACUUAAGCAUAUCAAUAAGCGGAGGAAAAGAAACCAACAGGGAUUGCCCUAGUAGCGGCGAGUGAAGCGGCAACAGCUCAAAUUUGAAAUCUGGCGCAAGCCCGAGUUGUAAUUUGUAGAGGAUGCUUCUAGGUAGCGACCGGUCUAAGUUCCUUGGAACAGGACGUCAUAGAGGGUGAGAAUCCCGUAUGUGACUGGCCCGCACCUUCUACGUAGCUCCUUCGACGAGUCGAGUUGUUUGGGAAUGCAGCUCUAAAUGGGAGGUAAAUUUCUUCUAAAGCUAAAUACCGGCCAGAGACCGAUAGCGCACAAGUAGAGUGAUCGAAAGAUGAAAAGCACUUUGGAAAGAGAGUUAAAAAGCACGUGAAAUUGUUGAAAGGGAAGCGCUCACAACCAGACUUCUAGGCAGUGUUCCGCCGGUCUUUUGACCGGUCUACUCUCUGUCUCGAGGCCAACAUCAUCUGGGACCGCCGGAUAAGACCUUAGGAAUGUAGCUCCCCUCGGGGAGUGUUAUAGCCUCUGGUGAUGCGGCGCGUCUCGGGUGAGGUCCGCGCUUCGGCAAGGAUGUUGGCGUAAUGGUUGUCAGCGGCCCGUCUUGAAACACGGACCAAGGAGUCUAACAUCUAUGCGAGUGUUCGGGUGUCAAACCCCUACGCGUAAUGAAAGUGAACGGAGGUGGGAAGCGUAAGCUGCACCAUCGACCGAUCCUGAUGUCCUCGGAUGGAUUUGAGUAAGAGCAUAGCUGUUGGGACCCGAAAGAUGGUGAACUAUGCCUGAAUAGGGUGAAGCCAGAGGAAACUCUGGUGGAGGCUCGCAGCGGUUCUGACGUGCAAAUCGAUCGUCAAAUUUGGGUAUAGGGGCGAAAGACUAAUCGAACCAUCUAGUAGCUGGUUCCUGCCGAAGUUUCCCUCA